rnacentral:lncRNA from 1 species
GUGUGCUACAGUGCAGUGUUUGUCAGUGAUUAACUCUUGCUGAAGCUGAUGUGUUUGUUGGUGUUCAGACCGUGUCGGAUGGACCUGUGUGAUUGUGUUUCUCCAGACGCUCUGGGCACUGGUCAACUUCACAUGGUCAUUUCAGUCAUACGCUCUUCCCAGUGUCACAGCUGUGUAUGUGUUUGGAUCAGUCUGUGUUGUGUUACUGAACUCUGUUGCUCUGAUGACUGAACUGAUCCUCAAAACAGUUAAUGGUGAAGGAGCGACGGGAGACAUGAGGAUCAUCGUCUUCUCCUCUGAAUUACUCUUCACUUUAAUUCUGGUGAUUUUAAUGGUAUUUGAACCCUGGAUCACACCGUGUCUUCAGUCUUGUACGAAGUCAAUGCAGUCUCGUCGAGCUGCAGCCGCUGGAUCACAGAAUCAGGAAUCUCAGAACGCAGGAGCAGAUUCAGCCACUGGAUCGAACCAGAACCAGAACCAGAACCGGAACCAGAACCGGAACCAGAACCAGAACCAGAACCCAGCAGAGUCACAUGAGAUGAAUUCUCUUCUGAACACACAAAACCAGGAGAACAGCAGGAGCGACGGGACGGAGGAAGCUCAGCCGGAUUCAGUGGUUUCACAAUCAUAAUCAACAGAUCCAGAAAAACACUCGUGAGGAGCUUUCCUCUGAGAUUUAAGAGUCCAGUCUCAUUCUUCAUCUGUUAUUGAGGCCGUUAUUUAAUGUGUGUUUGCUGUAAAUAUAUACAGGAUGUCUUUAUAUUGAUGUAAUAGUGAUUGUCUCUUAUAACUAACUCUAGCUGUAAACUACUUCAGCAGUAGAAAUGAAACUCAGACUCCUUUAAGAUCAACGGAGAGAAAUCAGUGUUAUAAUAUUAACUUUAAUAAACACGUCUGUGGAUUGAUGCUGGAGUCUCAAGAUCACAGAGAUCACCGUUCAGGAUCAUGAUGUCUGUCACACAUCAGAAACACUAAGACUGAACAUCUACAACUUCAGAUGACUGCUCAGAUCCUUCAUUAUGACUCUGUCAUGAAGAGUAAAACAUUAGGACACAUGGACUGUUAUUAAUUAAACUUAAUUAAACUUUGACUACUCUUAAUAUUGCUGCAAUAUGUGACAUUAUGUAAUAUUUCUGUAUGCACAGAACAUCUGGAAGACCUGCUACAUUCACUAAGAGCAGUAUACUGUAUCACACAAUGCAAAGAUGUAUUUAUUUUUUUCUCCUCUAGAGAUGGACUCAUGAGAACAGCUGGAUGAUAGUUAGGGUCAAACACUGGAGGCGCUCAGACAAGAAAAAAACAUCACUCCUCAUGUAAUAUGGGUAUUUAUGAUGAAACACUGAAUGUUAACAGUGAUAAUAAUCAUCAGAUUCCACAAGAGGUGAUAUUUUGUUAAAACAUUCAAAUGAAUUAAAAUUAAUGAAUGAAUCCACAUGUUUCUAUAAUAACACACAAUCUGAACUUGAUGUUCUUGUCUGCUGAUCAUUAAAGUGAGGUCUGAACUGUUUUUGAUUGUUAGAAAGGAGAGAAUCAGAGAGUCACCAGCUCUUUUUCUCCAGAUCAGCCAGAGAACAGCAGCCAGAAGAACAGCGAUCGCAGCGACAGACACAGAAAUCACUGCGACUGAAGAAGAGACAUAGUCAGAGACGGGACGAAUGAUCUCUAUUAUAGUCAAGAUAAAGACGAUAAGUGACGGAUAUAUUUCAUUAAUGUUUUAUGCAUUACCUUUUGUAUGAGAUGGUUCUGUCGUUGUAUCAGCUCGAGCUGUAAAAUAUGAAUGUUAGUUCAGAUGCAUCACAUGAAAGAAUGAUCUUCAAAGUGCAAUCCCCUAAACCAUAACCCCCCCCCCCAACCCAAAAAAAAAUCUUCUGAAAUGUGCUGAUUUACAUCCCUUAAAGUCACUUAUAUGAUGCACAUAAUGACAAAUGAGCCAGACGUAAACACUCUAAAGUAAACACUUCAAGGUUUUUAUAGCAGUAUUUCACUGCUUUUCAGUUUUCACUGAGGGUUUCAGAACAAAGUUUAUGGUUUGGUAAUCAGAUUUCUCUUGGAUAUGAAUCUGCAGUAUGCUGUCGAAGACUAGUAAAUAAUAUCACAUCUCAUUCUUCGUGAUCUCUGAACUCAGGUGACGUGGUCCUCUGUUCCAAAAUAAAGCUUUAAGCCCCGUGAAGCCGUGGUUUACAGUGAAUUUAUAACAGCUAUGGGUCGUUGAUAAGAUCAGUAAACACCCUUAGCUGUAAUAAAUUCACUGUAAACCACAGCUUCACAGGGGUUAUUGCUUUUAUAAAACGGUUAUUACAUAUACGUAGCAAGGUUUCAAAAAAUAGACAUAGACGUAUAUUUUCUGUCAUUUAUCGUCGGUCAUCCUCAUUAAUGUAUUUUAAACUGUUUUCAUAUUUAGAUAUGACGGCCAGAAAAAAAUUAAGUUAUGUUAAGUUUUUGUUAUGUUCAGUUUUUCAGUGUCAUUGACUCCAAUUAUUUCUCAGCGUUUUGCUUCAGUUUUCAGUCC